UAACAAGGUUUCCGUAGGUGAACCUGCGGAAGGAUCAUUGUCGUGACCCUGACCAAAACAGACCGUGAACGCGUCAUCUUGCCUGCCAGCGGCGGCCCUGNCCGUCGCUUGGCCAAAGUCCUCGAUAACCUCCUCUCCUCGGAGCGGGGGCUCGGGGUAAAAGAACCCACGGCGCCGAAGGCGUCAAGGAACACUGUGCCUAACCCGGGGAAGCGGCUGGCUUGCUAGCUGCCCCUCGUGUUGCAAUGCUAUUUAAUCCACACGACUCUCGGCAACNGGAUAUCUCGGCUCUCGCAUCGAUGAAGNAACGUAGCGAAAUGCGAUACCUGGUGUGNAAUUGCAGAAUCCCGCGAACCAUCGAGUCUUUGAACGCAAGUUGCGCCCGAGGCCACUUGGCCGAGGGCACGCCUGCCUGGGCGUCACGCCAAACACGCUCCCACCCCUCAUCGGGUGGUGGGAUGCGGCAUGUGGCUCCCCGUCUUUCAAGAGGCGGUGGGCUGAAGAUGCGGCUGCCGGCGUAUCGUGCCGGACACAGCGCGUGGUGGGCGAACUCGCUUUACUUACCGCAGUGCAUCCGGCCCAUAGCCGACGUGAUGGCCUUAAGGACCCUAUGAACGGAGCGCAUGACUCUCCGACCGCGACCCCAGGU
rnacentral:rRNA from 1 species